rnacentral:tRNA from 1 species
GGGAAUGUGGCUCAGUGGUAGAGUGCUUGCCUAGCAGUGCAUGAAGCCCUGGGUUCGAUUCCUCAGUACCA